rnacentral:lncRNA from 1 species
CCAAUAGUAGCUAUGUCACAGUAUCUAACGAAGGUGGUGCUCCUCCUCGGUCGGGCGGCGCUCGUUGUCACCGGCCUAUUUGCUGCCACCGAUCGUUGUUUCUGUGUCUUUUGGUUUUGUCUGUCUAUGCCGCACCUGUUUUGUGUCUGUCAUUAGUGGGGGGUUAUUUGGUGUGUAUUUUCAGUUGGGUUUCUCGUGCGGGAUUGUUUGUCUACUCUAGACAGUUGCGAGUGUAGCUGUUUUUUUUAGCUGGUUAUUGUCCAUUGUAUUGCCGGGCUGCGCCCGUGCGCUUUUUCCAGAGUGUUUAUUUUUGGGAAUGUGUUUUCCCCUGGCGGACUUCGUCACGCGCCCUGUGCCCUAUGGCUAUUGCGUUUUGCAUUUAUUAUUAAAACACUGUUGCUCCGGCCCUCUGUCUCCUGCUCCUGAUUCCACAUCUCCACUGGUCCUAGACAGCCGUGACAAGCUAGCCUGCUUUGGCCUGCUAAGGCCACAAUAGCCCAAGAAUGCACUGUUAAGGAGUGUAGAGUCCCACUGAACACUCAUCAUCAUCUCAACCAGUCUUGAAAACACAAACACAUUCUUUACUCUUAUGGCAAAUUAGUGGCAAUUGCAGUCAUCGACUAGAAGGACCCGACAGUGGAAAGCGGCAGUGUGUCCUGACUCCUGUGUGAUCAUUAACACAUAGAUGGCAUCGCCAUGGACCCCUUGCUUUCCUUCCUGCAUGCUUAUUUACUUCCUGUUAUAGUAUUAAUGGUGUUGUGUGGCAAGGCCUUAUUAUUGUAGUAAGCAGGAACCAACACUAAUCCAAUAUAAUGAGCCAGUGCACUAAUAUGAAUCUGUAAGAGAUGCAAUUAUUGGAAUGGGGGUGGGUAUCACAAGUAGAUUUUACAAAUAAGCCGUUUUCUGCACAACAUUACCAAGAAUAAAAUUCUCCCAAGAAUACUCUAGAA